rnacentral:lncRNA from 1 species
AGGAAAUUUGCUGGGUCACAUUCUUGGGAAGCAAGUUCACGAAAAAGGCUGUCAGAAUGAACAAUGUAACCGCGUGCUUCAUCGUUUUUACCAUCUUCUUUAUGAGCUCUGAUUGGCAUCCUUCGAGCAAUGUAUUAGUAGAAGGGGGAAGAAUUAUAACUGGCCCGAAAAACUGCUGGAGAGGCGCAUGCCCCAACUACUGUCAUCCUCCUUGUCAGUGCCCC